rnacentral:misc_RNA from 1 species
GUAAAAAAAGUCCCCAUAUAAACAAUGAGCAACGGUGGUGGUGCCGGGGGAUUGGGCGCGGCGCGUCCACCUCCACGAAUCGAUGGAAUGGUCUCGCUUAAGGUUGACAAUCUCACAUAUCGCACCACGCCGGAGGAUCUGCGUCGGGUCUUCGAGCGAUGCGGCGAGGUGGGAGACAUCUACAUACCCAGGGAUCGCUACACACGUGAGAGCCGCGGAUUCGCCUUUGUUCGCUUCUACGACAAACGGGAUGCCGAGGACGCACUGGAGGCCAUGGAUGGUCGCAUGCUAGACGGCAGGGAGCUCCGGGUCCAGAUGGCCCGCUACGGUCGCCCCUCUUCGCCCACUCGCAGUUCCAGUGGUCGUCGUGGAGGAGGAGGCGGUGGUGGAUCCGGCGGACGUCGUCGCUCACGAUCUCGCUCUCCAAUGCGCCGCCGUUCGCGCAGUCCGCGUCGCCGCUCCUACUCUCGUUCCCGCUCGCCUGGUAGCCAUUCGCCCGAACGUCGAUCCAAGUUUUCGCGCAGUCCAGUACGCGGCGACAGCCGCAAUGGAAUCGGGAGCGGAUCUGGCGGACUGGCCGCAGCUGCGUCUCGUAGUCGCAGUCGCUCCUAGAUAUCGACUUAACGUUCCAACUAGUGGGAGUGCGAGAUAUGACUCGCUGACUAGGCCGGAUUUGGUAUCCUGUUCCGGAUCUGUGGCUCGAUCUGUGUCAUGCUGUACCCGAACAGCAGGCAAAUGGUGUGUGGCAGUUGUUGCGGUUCAGAUAAGAUUGUGGUUAAAUCGCUCGCGAUUGAGGACCAGCAGCAGCGCAUCAUCUAAGCUACAACUCCUUCCUCCCGGAAGCGGACAUCGCGUGGCUCCUGUUUGUUGCUGCUGCUGCUGCU